CCAUCAAACAAACUAUAACUGAUUUAAUGAGCCAUUCGCAGUUUCACAGUCUGAAUUAGUUCAUACUUACACAUGCAUGGCUUAGUCUUUGAGACAAGCAUAUGACUACUGGCAGGAUCAACCAGGUAGCAUUCCUACAGGACGUCGCAGCCCCGCAUGCGUGCCGACACCGCACGGCGUGGGACCAACGCAGGGAGCGAGCGUCAUUCGUUCGAGCAAGGGACAAAGGCAACACGUUCGAGGGGCUCCCCGACCAUAUCAUGCAGCCGAAUGCACUGCAUCCGAGAGACCGAGCGCCGACGACGCGGGCCGCCACGACGCACCAAGGCGCCAAGGCAGAACGCGCGCGCGGGCUGUGGGGUUCGUCGUGCACCCGCGCGCGGUGACGACAGAAAGGGGCUGACGGGACACGACGCUUCCAUCGCGCUUGGUAACGAUGCAAGAACCGAUCGAUUGCGGCCGCUCCAACGAAGGACUUCGUUCGGGCACAUCGACGAGGAGGAGCAGGCGCCGACAGUUCGAUGCCCGAGCAACGACCCUGCCAACCCAAACUACCGAAUCACCGCUCACGCGCCGUACGCAUGCGAUCCCGUGCAUCGCUAGGCCGUCCCGCGUCCUCCACCGUGCAUCAAAGCAAGUGGAGUCGCGACGUCGCCGUGCGCGAUGACGAGAACACAUGAUGUCGUGCGCGCGCGCUCAAAAUCAGCGCUCUCUUGUUCGUUCUUCAACCCACGUUCGUUUAGCCAUCAGGCAACCGAAAAACCAUCGUGCGCAGCGGGACGAGCCCUUCCGCCAAGCAGGGACCGAUCGCAAGGUCAUCUCGUAUCCUCAAGGACAAGCAAGCCCGAACGACGCCCACAACAAAGUGCAGGCAUCAUCCAAGCAACCCCAUCCAAGCACAUCCACUCGACUUCCCGCUCUCACUCCCCACCCAACGUUGGGGGAAAAACCGACAUUCCGACCAAACCCUUCCACCAAGCAAGAAGCAAUCGAAAGACAUCUCGUAUCCUCGAGAACAAGCAACCCCAAACGACACCCACAACAAAGUGCAAGCAUCAUCCAAGCAAGCCCAUCCAAGCAAAUCAACUCGACAUCCCGCUCUCACUCCCCACCCGACGUAGGGCCCAGCAUUCCGACUAAAGCAACAUCCGUCAAGCAAGAAGCAAUCGCAAGUCAUCUCGCAUCCUCAAGAACAAGCAAGCCCAAACAACGCCCACAACAAAGUGCAAGCAUCAUCCAAGCAAGCCCGUCCAAGCACAUCAACUCGACUUCCCGCUCUCGCUCCCCACCCGACGUUUGGGGAAAAACCGACAUUCCGACCAAACCCUUCCACCAAGCAAGAAGCAAUCGAAAGACAUCUCGUAUCCUCGAGAACGAGCAAGCCCAAACAACGCCCACAACAAAGUGCAAGCAUCAUCCAAGCAAGCCCGUCCAAGCACAUCAACUCGACAUCCCGCUCUCACUCCCACCCGAAGUAGGGGCCCAGCAUUCCGACUAAAGCAACAUCCGUCAAGCAAGAAGCAAUCGCAAGUCAUCUCGCAUCCUCAAGAACAAGCAAGCCCAAACAACGCCCACAACAAAGUGCAAGCAUCAUGCAAGCAAGCCCGUCCAAGCAUAUCAACUCGACUUCCCGCUCUCGCUCCCACCCGACGUUGGGGGAUAAACGACAUUCCGACCAAGCCCUUCCAUCAAGCAAGAAGCAAUCACAAGACCAUCUCGUAUCCUCCAGAACAAGCGAGCCCAAACGACGCCCAAAGAGUGCAAGCAUCAUCCAAGCAAGCCCAUCCAAGCACAUCAACUCGACAUCCCGCACUCGCUGCCCACCCGACGUAAAGGCUCGGUAAUUCGACCAAACCCUUCCAACAACCACGAAGCAAUCGCAAGUCAUCUCGUAUUGUCAAGAGCAAGCAAGCCCGGACGACGCCCACAACAAGGUGCAAGCAUUAUCUAGGCCCGCCCACCGAGUACUUCAACUCGACAUCCCGCUCAUACUUCCCGAUUGACGGAAGGACGUGGUCGAAUGACGACGUAAACAUCCCAAGAACGUACGGCCAUGAUGGCCACAUUGUCCUUGAAACGCCACGCCGCCGCAUAGGGGUACCCCGCGCCCCGCCAUGUGGACUGGUCGCCCCCCUAUAAUAGUACAUUUUGGACUUUUUUGGUCUGGCAGGCUUGCAUAUGAAAUUUCCGAAACGUCACACCCUCAAAAAAUCUAUGAUGCUAUUGAUAUUAUGUCCGGGACAUGAUUGGAUUGUGUUGGGGACAUCCAAAUGGGUCUAGAAAACAAGUUUCAUAAUUUUUAAACCGACAGAUAAUAUUUUAUGAAUAUUUUUAGUUAAAAUUGAAAAAAAUUAAAAAAAUAGUAAAUGGUGGCGAAAAAUUCUAAAUUUUUUAGGACAUCAUUCGUUUACAAUGCUUACAUCCCAGAAAAAUUUCAGAACAAUCGGAGCACGGGAAGAUAGGUUUGACAUCUCUUAUGUGUGUUGGGCGGGCAUGGGGGCGCGCAUGGGCAUUCUGGGCGCGCAUGUGGGCCUUGGAUGGGCGAGGACGGCACGGUCGUGCGCGGCCCCAGCGCGCGACACGGUCGUGCGCGGCCAGCGCGCGUUACACAGUCGUGCGCGGCACGGGCGUGGGCGGCACCUGCGCGCGCGGCACGGGCGUGGGCGGCACCUGCGCGGCGGCACGGGCGUGGGCGCACCUGCGCGCGCGCACGGCGUGGGCGGCACCUGCGCGCGCGUGUCACGGACAUAUUUUUCCAAAGUGUGUUUACCUUUGGUUAUAUGCUCCGAUUACCCCCAGUUUAUCCCAUCUUUACUUUGCAUAACUAGUUUAGGUGUUUGCUUUCCAUUCUAGGUCAUAAAGCUUGGGUGUGACGUUUCGGCAUUUUCCAUAUGCAAGCCUGCCAGAGAAGAAAAUGUUCAAAAUGUACUAUAGGGGAGGCAUACCAGUUGAAUCCCCGCCCAAGCAUUAGUUGUACUCUUUGCAAGCUACCCUUUUUCCUUGCAACUGACAGUCUUUAAUGCUUAUUGUAACGUCUAUUUCAAUGUAUUUCUUUCUUUCCCGCGUUUUAUAAAUAAAAUUUCCCUAAAACGCGAAGGAAGGUUACGACAUACAUCGACGUUACCCACAACUCUUGGAUUUUGAUCGGCUGACUUGUUCGUGAGUUAGAACAAGUGUCGCACAAUCGUCCGUCUCGAGGUUGAAACGCUACGAUUGUGACAAGUGGUAUCAGAGCCAAGGUUGGCCGAGUGACAGUUUGGACAAAAAUAAAAUGUCGACUGCAAAACGAGCGAGCAAGACCCAUGUAGAACGAUUGGUGGGGAUCGAAGAGCAGAUGCUCCACCUGAUGGAAGUUCCUGAUUCCAUCCGAUUUAUGGAAGAACGGCUUGAGGAAGUUUCUGAGAGAGCCGCUGCUGUUGAUGCGGUGUCCGGUCACCUGGACGGAUUACCCAUACAGGAUUUGUUGGCUAGAGUUGACAUGUUAGAGUCACAAAUCCAGAGAAUUGGAAAUGUUCCCUACGAGCGUGGGGACAGUUCAUCGGGCUCUGUUGCCCGGAUGGAGGAGCGAGUUAUGGAGUUAGAUAACUCCAGAAGGAUAUAAUAGAAAUGAUAAAUGGCAUGUCAGAGGACUUUCGAGCCACCCUGGAUGUCGUUAGAAAUGAAAUCGUAGAGGUGAACACGAAGGUGAACCUUACGAUGCGAGCGUUGGCCAAUCAAGCUCCAGCUGGAGGAGCGAUGACAGUUGGCAAGAUAAAGAUCCCGGAACCCAAGCCCUUCUGUGGGGCAAGGGAUGCAAAGGCAUUGGAAAACUUUAUCUUCGAUAUUGAGCAGUACUUUAAAGCCACAAACACCGUGGCAGAGGAAGCCAAGGUGACAUUGGCAACCAUGCAUCUAUCUGAGGAUGCAAAGUUAUGGUGGAGGUCCCGAUACAUUGACAUUCAGGAAGGGCGUUGUGUAAUAGACACAUGGGACAGUUUGAAGAGAGAACUCCGCUCGCAGUUUUUCCCUGAGAAUGUCGAGAUUCUGGCUCGACGAAAACUGCGGGAAUUAAAGCACACUGGAAGCAUUCGGGAGUAUGUGAAGCAGUUUGCGGGGCUGAUGUUGGACAUAUCUGACAUGACUGAAAAGGACAAGAUCUUUAGUUUUGUUGAAGGACUGAAGCCGUGGGCAAGGACUAAGCUACACGAGCAGAAGGUCCAAGACCUCGUAUCGGCCUAUGCGACAGCUGAACGCUUGUUUGAUCUGUCUAGUGACGUUAAAGAGACGAGACGUCAACAAAGCUCUUCACCUGGAAGAGACAGAAACAACCGACCGAAUUAUCCCGAAGUUGUAAGUGGAAAUAGAAGUCCCGGUAGAGACCGCAAGCCUUCCCAGUCAAAUACAGGGAACAACGGGCAAAGGCCCAAUAAUCAGAGGACAUCCCACGCUUCUAUCAGUUGCUACAUUUGUAACGGACCACAUCGAGCAAGGGAAUGUCCGGAUAAGGCUGCCUUCUAUGCCUUCCAGGCCUCGUUAGCUGCAGACUCAGAUGACACGUCGGGUCAACCAGAGGAGGAAGUUGGGCAAGAAGAAAGAGUUCAAAAUGUGAGAGUGGGAGCCAUAAGACUCUUGUCGUCCCUUCAAAAGAGAGCAGGGGAGACAAGUGGGCGCACGAAAGGGGGCCUAAUGUAUGUGGACACUUGGAUCAACCGGAACCAUGCAAGAAGCACUAUGGUUGACUCCGGUGCAACCCAUAAUUUCAUAACGGUGGCAGAAGCCAGACGACUAAACCUUCAUUGGAAGAAGGAUACGGGAAAAAUGAAGGCCGUGAAUUCUACAGCUUUACCCGUAGUUGGAGUAGUAAAACGGGCGGUGAUACAGUUGGGAGGAUGGAGCGGUUUCGUUGACUUCGUGGUUGUAGGCAUGGAUGACUUUGAUGUAGUUCUUGGAAUGGAAUUCCUUCUCGAACAUCAAGUGAUCAUAAUGCCUGCAGCCAAAUGUCUGGUGAUCUCGGGGUCUAACCCCACCGUUGUGCAGACAGACAUUAGGCAACCUAAAGGACUGAGAACGAUCUCGGCCAUGCAACUUAGAGAGGACCGUGUUCGAGAAGACACAAGGUGUGUCGUGGAGAAAUAUGGAGAUGGGAAACGUGAGAGUUUGCCCAUGCCAGGAUCGCCUACGGAGAAUAAUCAUCGUAUGGCACACUCAGAGUCACCUGGACUCUGGAGACAAUCAAAGAGAUUGUCGAGUGCAGGGUUCUCUAGACACCCUAUCGAAUUUGAGGCGUGUAGUCAUGCGUUGAGUGGUGUCCUACUGCAGAAUAGACACCCUAUCGAAUUUGAGAAUCAGAAGAAGAGUGCCACUGAGGGCAAUGAUACAGUGUUUGAAGAAGAAACGUUGGCCAUAGCACACAGUCUGAGGAUGGGAGACAGGGUUCCAUAGAUUAACGCUUGUCAAAGAGAUGAACAACGACGUUGCCUGCCAUUUCGGUACUCGGCCGAAUCUGACUUCAAAUCAAGUAAGGAGACGAAGAGUCGUGCUCAAACUUGAUUUUGAGUCAGAACGUAGGAAGAGCAGUCAUGGGGUUCCACAUGUGUCCGCUCGUACACAGGCCUGUCAAGCUGAUGGCCCAAAACGAGACGCGUCAAAGGAAUCCAUGAAAGAAAACUCUGUCGCUCAUGAUGGCAUGAGUUUGACGAAGGCCGGCAAGUUAGCACAAAAGAACGGGGGUUGUUCGUUGGAGGCAACACAAUCAGGUGUUACAACUAUGAAGAAAUCAUCAACUUACGGAAGUCCAACAAUGAGUGUUGGCGACGGACAAUAUGUAUUGUCGCGUCCUGUUGAUCGUUCUUGUAUGAAGAAGGAGCCUCAGACUUGUAACCUUGCCAAGAAGUGGAAGCGUAGAUCAGACACUGUUCGAGCCAAUUUGGAGAAAGUCUCGAAGCGGCUGAAAAGAUGGGCAGAUGGGAAGCAUCGCCCCCUGGACCUUCAUGUGGAAGGUCAGGAUAUCGUGACGCCGCGACCUGAACUGAUGCGGUUUCUGAAGAUACGAAGAUCUUCACCUCGUGGGAGCACACGAGGAAUAAACAGAAGUUGAAGAAGAAGACCCAUGGGGAGGAUACACAAGUUCGUGACGAAGCAGAAGAGCCUCCUCAUGGAAAAAGCCUGUGGAAGACGUACCAAGACCGUGAAGCGUGGAGGCAGAAGAUCGAAGGAUUCCAGCUUUGCCAGUCGACGGGGACGUCAACUGUUUAAGUGGGGAGUGUGUCACGGACAUAUUUUUCCAAAGUGUGUUUACCUUUUGGUUAUAUGCUCCGAUUACCCCCAGUUUAUCCCAUCUUUACUUUGCAUAACUAGUUUAGGUGUUUGCUUUCCAUUCUAGGUCAUAAAGCUUGGGUGUGACGUUUCGGCAUUUUCCAUAUGCAAGCCUGCCAGAGAAGAAAAUGUUCAAAAUGUACUAUAGGGGAGGCAUACCAGUUGAAUCCCGCCCAAGCAUUAGUUGUACUCUUUGCAAGCUACCCUUUUUCCUUGCAACUGACAGUCUUUAAUGCUUAUUGUAACGUCUAUUUCAAUGUAUUUCUUUCUUUCCCGCGUUUUAUAAAUAAAAUUUCCCUAAAACGCGAAGGAAGGUUACGACAUACAUCGACGUUACCCACAACUCUUGGAUUUUGAUCGGCUGACUUGUUCGUGAGUUAGAACAAGUGCCGCACAAUCGUCCGUCUCGAGGUUGAAACGCUACGAUUGUGACACGCGGCACCGUCGUGGGCGGCACCUGCGCGCGCGGCAAGGGCGUGGGCGGCACCUGCGCGCGCGGCACGGUCGUGGGCGGCUACUGCGCGCGCGACACGGGCGUGGGCGGCACCUGCGUGAAAGAACUAAGUCAUGCACAGCGGAAAAAGAAUCGAAUUUCUACCCUAAUUGCCACAAUUAACAUGUAACCAUAAACUAAUCAAAUUAGGGUUUUAAGAAGUAUUACCUUUGAAGCUUUCAAAAGGUUUGAUGUCUUCUUACCAAUUCUACCCGAGACCACCACUAGUACUCAACUGCUAUCCUCUAGACAAAGAACCGGGUUGUGGGACCCAAUUUUGGUGUAGAAAGUAAUGGAGAUAAAAUGAGAUUGGAAGCUUUCUUUUUUCUUUUGUUGAGAUUAUGAAAAUGAUAAAAGAGGCAAAAGUCCUUCAACAUUUGAAAACAUCUCUAUUUAUAGCCUAAUUACAUGCAAAAAUGCAUGCAAUUCAAUUGCCAAAUCUCAACACCUAAUAUUCCACUAACAAUUAGUGGAACUUAGUGGGCUAGGUGUCUAUAUCUCAUAUAGCCACAUAUCCCACUAAGAGUUAGUGGGAUUAUCCAACAAAAUGUUGGAUUUUCCCACUAACUUAGUCCAAGGGUAAAAUGGUCAUUAGAUUUUUCUAGUCAAAAGUCAAACUUUGACUUUUCUAAGUCAAAAGUCAAUAUUUUGACUUUUUACCAUUUUGUCCGUCUUGACUAAUUCCAACCUCCCGAGCAUGAAUCCGCAUUCAUUUUUCCAAAAUUCAAAUCACAUUUGAAUAUAAGGCCGGUCAAAGUUUGACUUUUCAAAGUCAAAAGUCAACAUUUUGACUUUUUACUAUUUUUGACCAAUUCCGAGCUUCUUAGUAUGAAUCCGCAUUCAUACUUAUAGUAUGUAAAACAUAAAGCUCUAUUUCUAAUUAGAAGACCGACGAUUAUAUCACUGUAUAUGUCGGUUUUCCUUUCUUCUCCCUAUUCGAACAAUUCGACUUAUUUCAUCACACUGUUCUAAGUUUAAUCCAUAUGAGCUAGCAGAGGAACCUAAUGGACCUAUAGAUCAUGGGCUCCAACGAUUCAAGAUUAACUAGCUAAACUCUUUUAAACCGAGUUAAUCAACAUUCGUUAACUAACGGGUCAUUCCACUAAAGUCCCGUAGUUGCACUCCCCUCACUAUAGAUAUAUUUGUGUCCAUUUGAUAAAACCAUAAUCAGUAAGUUAAUCCUUCACAGGUUGCUCGUAACCUUGGCUGGGUCAAAAUACCGUUUUACCCCCAAGAUUACAUCUUGCUCCUUAAGUCCCACUAAUCCACUAUUGAACAAUUGGUUUAAGGUUCAACCUAUAAACUUAAUCCCUCUCGGGCCAAUGAGAGGGUGGGGCCCCUUGUUCAAGACUUGGAUUCAGUGCUUAAGAGAGCAACCUAUCUACUAACCCUAAAGCGGGUAGGAGUGAAUUCCAUCUUGUACCCUAUGUUCCCAGCUAUCCACCCGAUCUUACCCCUGAAAUGGGAGGCUUAUUGGGCCAACGCUGAUGAGCUGCCCUCACCUAUGCAGAUCUAAGGAUAAUCUCGUAUGAACAGGAGUUCAUAGUUAACUCAGGAUUAAGACUAAGUUACCUAGGUCAUCAAUAAUUGAGAUAGUCAGUUUUAAACAGUAAACGGUGUUAUAACGUAAAAAUGACUAAUUCAUGGUUCAGUCUUAUGUAAACAUUUUACAUAGGAUGCCCCCACUUUCAUGUCUCUACAUGAACGAUUAGGAUCACAUCGUUUGUACUACAAAGUGGGCCGCAUCCAUAGUCUCUCAAAAUAAGGCGCCCAACCUUUAUUUCAUAUACUAUAGACUAUUUAGGCUAUAUACUCGAACUUGAUCCACGUUUAUGUUUACACAUAAAGUUCAAGUUUAUUCAAAAAAUAGCCUUGGAACUUUGAUUUAUUGGAUUUAAGAUUAUAAUAUUUAAUUUCUCAAUAACAACUUUAUUGAAUAGAAUAUGAUUUACAAACUACGAGUUUUAGGACAAAAAAUUCCAACAAACUCCCACUUGGACUAAAAUUCCUAGUGGUAUGAGAGAUGUGGUGUGAGAGAAUAUAUAUGAAACUAGGGCACAUGGCCAAUAAGUCUCCCACUUGUCCUAGUUUACAAACAUCGUACACCUAAACUGUGUAGGUGACCCUCAAACACUUUAGCCAUGAGGGCUUUUGUAAAAUGAUCAGCUUCCAUUGUGGAAUCAGCUAUACAAGUUUGCUUUAUGCUUCUCCAAACUACUGCUCCUCCAUUUAGAGUAAAUACUGAUCCUGAUGUAGACUUUCUAACAUCUUUAUCAGUUUGGAAAUCUGAAUCAGUGUAUCCAGUAAGGAUCAGAUCCUUUGUACGAUACAUGAGCAUGUAGAAUGUUUUUAACGGCUGUCCAGUGAUCACGUCCAUGAUUGGAUUGAUACCUACUGACCAUCCCUACUGAGUAGCAAAUGUCAGGUCUAGUACAUAACAUUGCAUACAUUAAACUUCCAACAGCGGAAGCAUAGGGAAUAUUUCUCAUAUCCUCAACUUCUUGAGGUGUCUUAGGACAUUGUUCCUUUGACAAAUGAAUUCCAUAUCUGUACGGCAGCAGACCCUUUUUGGAAUUCUGCAUUUUAUAUCUAGACAACAUUUUGUCUAUGUAAGAUGCUUGAGACAUGGCUAGUGUUUUGUUCUUACGGUUUCGAACAAUUUGGAUUCCGAGAACGUAUUGUGCAUCUCCCAGAUCUUUCAUUUGAAAUUGCAUAGCUAGCCAUUUCUUGAUAUCAGGAAGAUAUCCUAGUCAUUUCCAAUAAGUAGAAUAUCAUCUACAUAUAAGACUAAAAAAUGCUAUAAUGGAAUUGACGACCUUUUGUAAACACAAGGCUCGUCAACAUUUUGUUCAAAGCCAUAAGAUUUUGAUCGCAAUAUCAAAUCUUAUAUUCCAGGAUCUAGAAGCUUGUUUUAAUCCAUAAAUGGAUUUUUUAAGCUUACAAACCUUUUGUUCUUGAUCUUGUUUUAUAAACCCCUCUGGUUGAGACAUAUAGAUGCUCUCUUCAAGAUUACCGUUCAAAAAAGCUGUCUUGACAUCCAUCUGCCAAAUUUCAUAAUCAUAAAAAGUGGCGAUGGAUAAGAGUAUUCUAAUUGACUUUAACAUGGCAACGGGAGAGAAAGUUUCCUCUAGUCUACUCCCUCUCUCUAGGUAUAACCCUUUGCCACAAGUCGAGCCUUAAAAGUCUGUACUUUACCGGCAUGGUCUCGUUUUC
rnacentral:lncRNA from 1 species